GAAAAAUAGCUUUCAAGAGAACAGAGAUCCUAGCAUGGCCAUGGGGUAGCAGGAAAACCUGAGAACACUGAAUGAAUCAAGGUGAGACUUGACCAUGUGGACCUAGAAAGAAUGAGGUGGCAGAGGCCCAGAAAAGUCUGGUUUUGUCCAAUAUAACGCAGAACUUGAACUGCAGACUUUUUUCUUGUACCCCAAUGGACCGGGAAAUAAAUAAGCAGUGACUGGACUUGCCACAUGUCAACUGAAGGCAAACAGGCUAAAUAGAAGAAUCUUAUGUGUUCUUUAUUUGAAUGUACCAGCCUGAACAUAUCUUUGUUUAGCAUCUAAGGCUUCAGAAUCAAGAUUGCAUCUGGAUUGAAGAUAUUUUAUGUCUGAAGAUUUUGUCCUCUUUGAUCCCAUUUCUUUUGCAAGGAAUUGUCUACUCCACUUACUGGUGGAGGUCCAGGGGUUUCCUUUUCUGGAAUACAGAAAUGUAAGAAAUCCAGAUGAUAAAGGCUGUGUGCACUACCACG
ensembl:lincRNA uncharacterized LOC102020324